rnacentral:rRNA from 1 species
UACAGAGGUCCCAAGCGUUGUUCGGAUUCACUGGGCGUAAAGGGUGCGUAGGUGGUCGGGUAAGUCUGAUGUGAAAUCUCCGGGCCUAACCCGGAAACUGCAUCGGAUACUAUUCGGCUAGAGGGUUGGAGGGGGGACUGGAAUACUUGGUGUAGCAGUGAAAUGCGUAGAUAUCGAGAGGAACACCAGUGGCGAAGGCGAGACCCUGGACAGCUACUGACACUGAGGCACGAAAGCUAGGGGAGCAAACAGG